AUAAUACAAAUUUUUAAUGGUAAAAAUAAUUAUUAUUAAAUCAUUCUCUCUCUAGAUAAUAAUUUAUCUUUUCUCUCUCUCAUCAAUUCACCUACUUGCUUCCAACACUCUUUAUAAUUUCUCUCUAAUAUCGCUUGAUCACCAAAUUCGUUUGAUCCUGUCCAUUGCCAAAUCCUUAUCGGUGCCCAAGCAGUAGUCGCACACCUAUUCGCCUCUAUCCUGACAACCUUCAUCAUUGAUCUUGGUGAUGAGGGAGACAAUGAUGGUGGUAUAUUUGAUGGAAAUGGCAUUGGGACCAAAGGGUACAUUGACAUUGAUUUCAUUUCUAUCUUUCAAUUUCACGUCCAAUCUAAACGAAAUAUAAAAUAAAAUAGGCUAUAAAAUAAUUGAUUAAAAACUAUUAAAUGUCUAUAUUUUUCAAUUCAAAUAUACACUUAUCAAAUUCCCAACAAAAAGAAAUAUAGUUAUAACUAUCGACUUACUAACAAUAUAUUAAUAUCAUAUAUAUUUUCUUGUGGGAUCCACUAUCAUCUCUCUUAAUAUUUCUAUUUAUAAAUCAUUUAUAGAUUUUUCAAACUGAUAGUAAGAUCGUGUUUCCAACAUAUAUUUUGUAUAUAUACUUUUGUACGGAUUACAUUCGUAAUACAACAGCCUGGAAGCCUCGAGCCAGCAAUAGUUUUAUUUUCUUUUAUCUCUGAUCUGACUAAUUGCCAAUUAUUUAGGUAGAUAAUUAUAACUAUAAUAUAAAUUUAGGCAUUACUUCGUCAAAGUCAAUUGAUAAACAAAUUCAGACACAAGAAACAAAACUCUACAGCUAAUUAACAUUUGAAAGAUAUGAAAGAUGCACAUCCAGACUAUACAUACGACUUUCUGCAUAGUUCUUCAUGUAUCUUCAAAUUGAGCUUGGAAAUUUUAUUUACCUGCUUCCAAUUGAGUAUAUGUUUCCCAGCCACAAUUUUAGAGAAUAAAUUUCAGCGACAGAUUGGUUAGCGAAUCAAGGGGUUAAAGAGGGCAACCAACAUCCACGGCCGGCCCUGAUAUUUUGGGGGCCUUAUGUCAAUUUCAAAUUGGGGCCAUAUAUUUUGAAUCUCCUAGUAUAGAGUUUUAGCCCAUGUUUGAUGAAGAUUAAACCCUUGUUUGAACCCAAUUUUUUCAUCAAAAUACAUUCUUUAAUACAUUUCUCAAUAAAAUAAUAUUACAUGUACCUUCAAAAUUUUUCCUUAUUUUUUAACCACAUUCUCCAUCAUAACACUAUCUCAAAAUACAUUUUUUUGAAAAAAAUGGGGCUCAAACAACCCCUAAAAUCAAUUUUUUAGUAGAUUUUGAUAGAAGUGGAUAAAAUAUAUGGAUUUAAAAUUGUGGAACCCAUAAAAUAUAUGGUUAAAAUUAAUUAUUGAUUUUCACUUAGAUUAAAAUCUAGAUUUUAAUCGAUACCAAAUAGUGACUUAAUAUAAUUAUAAAGAAUCUAACACAGACAAAUAAGCCUCAAAAUUUGAAGAGAAAAUUAACAAAAUGUCAAAUUUCAACCAGUAAUACAAAUUACAAGUAAAGUUUGGCAAACAUAAUUACAAUGCAAUGGCAAAGGAGUAUAUUUGUUUGUAUGAUUAUUUUCUCACUACAAAUAUUUCAAAUAAGAUUGAAUAUACAUUUGAGGGAUUUUUGUAUAAAAUUAGAGAAUGUGACUACAAAAGAUAGUGUAACAAAAUAAUGAAAUGAUGAUCAAAUACAAACGAUCUUCUAAUUUUAUAUUAAUUUAUAAGAAAUUAACUUUAAAAUAAGAAGUAUCUAUAUGAAUAAGAACAAAGAAUUAUUAAAUUCAAAUUAUUUUCAGCAAACAUCUAAAAUUAUUAUUAUCAUGAGAUUAAAACAAAACAAUAUAAUAACAAUAUAUGUACUCUGUAGUAUAUGUUUCGAAGAUAAAGAGAAAGAAAGAAACCUGUAAGAUUGUAACAAUGGUAGUUAGAUCAAACCAAACUGCAUUGAAUCUUCUAAAUUUUAAUACAAAGGAAGAUAAUUUAUAUCUUGUUGGCUUGAAAAAAAUAAUGGUGGGUGAUUGUUAGAUAUGGAAUUAGAAGAGACAGAGACCUUUUGUUUGGUUAAGAAAAGAAAAUGAAUGUUUGGAAGAUAAAGUGUCAACUUAAUCAUAAAUAGGGAAAGCAAUAUUUGUGAUAAAUAAAUGUAAGUAAUAAGUUUGUUGCAUAUAUAUAUUUUAAAGAUUUUUAUAUUUUCAAUUUUUAUGACUUUCUUAUGUUUGCAUAUGAUAAUUCUAUUUUACAGAAUUUCAUAAAUAUAAUUUCCACUCUUCUUCAACCAACCAAUUGACUUUAUAUAAUUUGGGACCCUCAUCAAAGUGGGGCUUUAGGCGAUCCCCUACUUCGUCUAUAUUCAGGGCCACCACUGCCAACAUCGAGUAAUGGUUCAACCAACCAGUGUGAGGAAGUUGAUGACUCGAUAAGGAUAGUGUUCCAAAUGUUAAGACUUAAAUACAAGAAAAAUUUACAAUCUUAUGUAAUGGAAGUAGUAUGUACAUCUUUCAUGAGUGUACAUAAAAUAUAUGGUUAAAAUUAAUUAUUGAUUUUCACUUAGAUUAAAAUCUAGAUUUUAAUCGAUACCAAAUAGUGACUUAAUAUAAUUAUAAAGAAUCUAACACAGACAAAUAAGCCUCAAAAUUUGAAGAGAAAAUUAACAAAAUGUCAAAUUUCAACCAGUAAUACAAAUUACAAGUAAAGUUUGGCAAACAUAAUUACAAUGCAAUGGCAAAGGAGUAUAUUUGUUUGUAUGAUUAUUUUCUCACUACAAAUAUUUCAAAUAAGAUUGAAUAUACAUUUGAGGGAUUUUUGUAUAAAAUUAGAGAAUGUGACUACAAAAGAUAGUGUAACAAAAUAAUGAAAUGAUGAUCAAAUACAAACGAUCUUCUAAUUUUAUAUUAAUUUAUAAGAAAUUAACUUUAAAAUAAGAAGUAUCUAUAUGAAUAAGAACAAAGAAUUAUUAAAUUCAAAUUAUUUUCAGCAAACAUCUAAAAUUAUUAUUAUCAUGAGAUUAAAACAAAACAAUAUAAUAACAAUAUAUGUACUCUGUAGUAUAUGUUUCGAAGAUAAAGAGAAAGAAAGAAACCUGUAAGAUUGUAACAAUGGUAGUUAGAUCAAACCAAACUGCAUU
rnacentral:lncRNA from 1 species